CUCCCUCGCGGUUCCCAUAAUUCCCAGCAUCUACACAUCACAGAGUAGGGAUUACUCUAUGAUGUGUAGAUGCUGGGAAUUAUGGGAACCGCGAGGGAG